CCUAGUUAGUCGUGUGACAACUAAGUGAAUUUAGUGCCCAUCCUGUGGAUUAUCUGAUUGGAUUAUAUUCUUGGAUUACCUCAGGAUGCCUGCUAAGAAAAAGAAGUCCGGCAAACGCCGAAACUCGGAAGAAUGCUCUUGCCCACGGCUCAGGGCAGUCUAUCGACGGUCUCGUUCAUCGUGGAGACCCCAGACCCAGGUUCGUCAAAUGUUUAGACGGGACGUCGAGAUGUGCGUCGCUAACGGAUCGAUUGCUGAGAGGAUGUUUACGCUAUAGUACGCGUGCAUCUCUCCGGAUAAAGCUAAUUCCGUCCCUGGCUACGCUUAUCCAGUCCCAAUAUUAAUAUGUGGAUAUUCUCUUUACAACUCGUUGAAUAGUAAUUAAUUAUCAAAAAUUGAAGCUUUCCAAACGUUCGGGAAAUGCUUAUGACGUCAUGGAGACGGUCGAGUGCUGGACUAAUCCCAAGGCGGCUUGAGCUAACCUAACGUCAUCAAGACAUACGCUUCGAUCAAUGGAGGACGACGACUCUCUAUUGGCGAUGGAAGCAGGACUCAUCAAGCCCUGAACUAAGGCUUGAAAAUGGUCAAAUUCCGCGACAUGUAAACGAACAUUUUGUAUGUGGAUUAAUUAUUGGUGGACAAUUUUAUCUAGGCACUAUUAUAUCGUGUACAAUUUUCCAUCAUUAAAUUUUCAGAAAUCGAAGUGAGAAA